ACGUGCGUGAGAAAGCGUGAAGAGUCAGUCCACAGUCCGCAGUCCGCAGUGGUAGACUCUGCUUGAGACUAAACCCUAAACCCUAAACCCUAAACCCUUACCCUCCCUUUUUUACGGCGAUGAUGGUGAGCGACGGCGAUGACGGGAUAGGUUUGAAAUUGAUGAAAUGUGCUGUGAUUGAAUGCUGCAAACCUAUUUGGUCAAUUAGCAUUUCGUUUGGGGUUUUGAUCUUGGGGGAGGAUAAUGGUAUUAAGGUUGUUAAUUUGAGGCGUUUUGUGAGAGGGCGUGGUCGAAGCAUGAAGUUCAUAAGCCAUUUUUGCCUCAUGGAGAAGCUUGUGGAGCUUCUGGAGGCACUGACUUGAAUGGUGGCUCUCUCGUUGUUGGCAACAAUGGAUGCUUGGACGGAAACUUGGACAAACAUUCGAUUUCUGGAAGCUUAUAUGCGUAUACAGUUUCCUGAAGUUUCAUCGGCGUUGUUUUUCCGGACAUUUUCGUUCAAGGCUCCGUUAGAUGAUCUCGUCCAGAGUCGUGGCUUAUCAGCUUCAUGUUCUGCUUGAGUAAGAAACCGAGCUGUACUACAGGUUAAUUAUAUGGACAUAUCUGUGAUCAGAUCCUUGCAAUGUGGUCUCUAAUUAUUGCAUUACAGUAAGUCGAUACCAACGAAGUCGAGAACUGCAGUUUUCUCAUACAUCCAUGGUGCAUAAGAUUUGAGAAGGCUCAGCUCUAAGUAGGUAUGUUGUUUUUACUAUUAUCCUUUUUUCUAUUGUUGAGAAAUUGAUGUUGCAGGUUUGAAAUACGAAAAAUGCUUCGAACAUCCUUCCCGUCUUGCAGGUUUGAAAUACAAAUUGAUCUUGGUGUGUUCCUUUGGGAAUGGGUUUCCAAAGACACGGCAGAAAUAGUUCAGGAAUUACUAAAUAUGGGUCUAUAGGGAUGCAUUCAAUCCUCAAAAAAAGAGGAUUUGAUUGAGUACCGAGGAGUCAAAGACUUAAUGUCAGACGACAUGGAUGUGCCAACAUUGUGCCUCCACCUUUGAGGCGGAGGUUGAUAUAUGGGGUCGCUCUCCGGUACGAUAUCUAAGAAUGAGUCGCCAAGGACAUGGGAGGAUUCGUACCUCAAUUGUACCCAGAUGGAUGGAUGUUCGGGAUGCUCGAUUAUAAAGUUGACUUAUAGGCUGGUUCUCGAUAAGUGUGCCCGAGCGAGCAGUGAAGGCUGAUGACAUCUUGGAACUUGGGUGAGCAUCAUGAAAUGUGUGGGCUAUGUUAUUGAGAAUCAAGAUGACUAAGAUGAAAUGCGAUGUUUCAUUUGAAGGACGUUGACUUUGAGGAGGAGAAAGGUCGAGUCUUAGGACUUAGCCUAGAGUAGAGGCAAGUCAACUAGACUUGCAAUGAAGUGAAUGCGGCACGCAUGGGCGACAUGUAUGCUUGAACAAAGCAUAGUUUCCGCAUGAGUUGUGUUUGGUCAAUGAAGGAAAACCUCACCUAAGGUCUGACAAAACCGCAAAACUAAGCAAAAAUUAUAAGCGAGUCUGAGUUCCCCUUAUUAAGACUCGUCACGAUUGUGUCAGAAUUAUGACGCCGCACGGUUUGAAAAGUAUGAUCACGACACAAAACACGAUCAUAUCAUGUGGAGUUGAGUUUAAUUGUGCAAUCUAGUGCGAGUUCUUUGGUUUUUUACUUUUUCUGCUUUAAUUCCAUAUUAUCUUCGUUAUUUUGCAUCGAUGGUACGUAACAUGCUUCGAGCUGUCCAUCGUUACGAUCGUUCUCGCUACUCAGUUUUCUGUUCAAGAACGAAUCUAUUUAGCUUAGAGAAAUUAUCUGAUAUUGUUAUUUGUCUUACUGAGAUUUGUGGUAUAUGGCAUAGGACCUUUGCUGUGCUUCCAUGGCCUUGCUUGCAUCCAUGAGCUGCAAGACAAGCUCGGGGCUGAGAAACGAGCAUGCUAGCUGUUGGUUCGAGUAGCAGAAAGAAUACGGUAUGCUUCCGACCUGCUAUCAUGAAAGAUAUACUCGUGCUUGGCCAAUCUUCUCUAUUCAAUUUUGCGCGUAACUGAUUUUGAACGAUCUCAUGAUCGUUUUUAGUUUGAUAGUGAAGUAGAUGUUAAUUUUAUAGCAUGUUUAACAUCGAAUAACUAUCGUAGUUUGGUUUAGUGGCAUCAAGUAAAGAGUGGUCGUUUACUUUCGA